rnacentral:rRNA from 1 species
UUAAGCGACUAAGCGUACACGGUGGAUGCCCUGGCAGUCAGAGGCGAUGAAGGACGUGCUAAUCUGCGAUAAGCGUCGGUAAGGUGAUAUGAACCGUUAUAACCGGCGAUUUCCGAAUGGGGAAAACCCAGUGUGAUUCGUCACACUAUCAUUAACUGAAUCCAUAGGUUAAUGAGGCGAACCGGGGGAACUGAAACAUCUAAGUACCCCGAGGAAAAGAAAUCAACCGAGAUUCCCCCAGUAGCGGCGAGCGAACGGGGAGCAGCCCAGAGCCUGAAUCAGUGUGUGUGUUAGUGGAAGCGUCUGGAAAAGGCGCGCGAUACAGGGUGAACAGCCCCGUACACAAAAAUGCACAUACUGUGAGCUCCGAUGAGUAGGGCGGGACACGUGGUAUCCUGUCUGAAUAUGGGGGGACCAUCCUCCAAGGCUAAAUACUCCUGACUGACCGAUAGUGAACCAGUACCGUGAGGGAAAGGCGAAAAGAACCCCGGCGAGGGGAGUGAAAAAGAACCUGAAACCGUGUACGUACAAGCAGUGGGAGCACAGAGCAAUCUGUGUGACUGCGUACCUUUUGUAUAAUGGGUCAGCGACUUAUAUUCUGUAGCAAGGUUAACCGAAUAGGGGAGCCGAAGGGAAACCGAGUCUUAACUGGGCGUUAAGUUGCAGGGUAUAGACCCGAAACCCGGUGAUCUAGCCAUGGGCAGGUUGAAGGUUGGGUAACACUAACUGGAGGACCGAACCGACUAAUGUUGAAAAAUUAGCGGAUGACUUGUGGCUGGGGGUGAAAGGCCAAUCAAACCGGGAGAUAGCUGGUUCUCCCCGAAAGCUAUUUAGGUAGCGCCUCGUGAAUUCAUCUCCGGGGGUAGAGCACUGUUUCGGCAAGGGGGUCAUCCCGACUUACCAACCCGAUGCAAACUGCGAAUACCGGAGAAUGUUAUCACGGGAGACACACGGCGGGUGCUAACGUCCGUCGUGAAGAGGGAAACAACCCAGACCGCCAGCUAAGGUCCCAAAGUCAUGGUUAAGUGGGAAACGAUGUGGGAAGGCCCAGACAGCCAGGAUGUUGGCUUAGAAGCAGCCAUCAUUUAAAGAAAGCGUAAUAGCUCACUGGUCGAGUCGGCCUGCGCGGAAGAUGUAACGGGGCUAAACCAUGCACCGAAGCUGCGGCAGCGACGCUGAUGCGUUGUUGGGUAGGGGAGCGUUCUGUAAGCCUGUGAAGGUGUGCUGUGAGGCAUGCUGGAGGUAUCAGAAGUGCGAAUGCUGACAUAAGUAACGAUAAAGCGGGUGAAAAGCCCGCUCGCCGGAAGACCAAGGGUUCCUGUCCAACGUUAAUCGGGGCAGGGUGAGUCGACCCCUAAGGCGAGGCCGAAAGGCGUAGUCGAUGGGAAACAGGUUAAUAUUCCUGUACUUGGUGUUACUGCGAAGGGGGGACGGAGAAGGCUAUGUUGGCCGGGCGACGGUUGUCCCGGUUUAAGCGUGUAGGCUGGUUUUCCAGGCAAAUCCGGAAAAUCAAGGCUGAGGCGUGAUGACGAGGCACUACGGUGCUGAAGCAACAAAUGCCCUGCUUCCAGGAAAAGCCUCUAAGCAUCAGGUAACAUCAAAUCGUACCCCAAACCGACACAGGUGGUCAGGUAGAGAAUACCAAGGCGCUUGAGAGAACUCGGGUGAAGGAACUAGGCAAAAUGGUGCCGUAACUUCGGGAGAAGGCACGCUGAUAUGUAGGUGAAGUCCCUCGCGGAUGGAGCUGAAAUCAGUCGAAGAUACCAGCUGGCUGCAACUGUUUAUUAAAAACACAGCACUGUGCAAACACGAAAGUGGACGUAUACGGUGUGACGCCUGCCCGGUGCCGGAAGGUUAAUUGAUGGGGUCAGCGCAAGCGAAGCUCUUGAUCGAAGCCCCGGUAAACGGCGGCCGUAACUAUAACGGUCCUAAGGUAGCGAAAUUCCUUGUCGGGUAAGUUCCGACCUGCACGAAUGGCGUAAUGAUGGCCAGGCUGUCUCCACCCGAGACUCAGUGAAAUUGAACUCGCUGUGAAGAUGCAGUGUACCCGCGGCAAGACGGAAAGACCCCGUGAACCUUUACUAUAGCUUGACACUGAACAUUGAGCCUUGAUGUGUAGGAUAGGUGGGAGGCUUUGAAGUGUGGACGCCAGUCUGCAUGGAGCCGACCUUGAAAUACCACCCUUUAAUGUUUGAUGUUCUAACGUUGACCCGUGAUCCGGGUUGCGGACAGUGUCUGGUGGGUAGUUUGACUGGGGCGGUCUCCUCCUAAAGAGUAACGGAGGAGCACGAAGGUUGGCUAAUCCUGGUCGGACAUCAGGAGGUUAGUGCAAUGGCAUAAGCCAGCUUGACUGCGAGCGUGACGGCGCGAGCAGGUGCGAAAGCAGGUCAUAGUGAUCCGGUGGUUCUGAAUGGAAGGGCCAUCGCUCAACGGAUAAAAGGUACUCCGGGGAUAACAGGCUGAUACCGCCCAAGAGUUCAUAUCGACGGCGGUGUUUGGCACCUCGAUGUCGGCUCAUCACAUCCUGGGGCUGAAGUAGGUCCCAAGGGUAUGGCUGUUCGCCAUUUAAAGUGGUACGCGAGCUGGGUUUAGAACGUCGUGAGACAGUUCGGUCCCUAUCUGCCGUGGGCGCUGGAGAACUGAGGGGGGCUGCUCCUAGUACGAGAGGACCGGAGUGGACGCAUCACUGGUGUUCGGGUUGUCAUGCCAAUGGCACUGCCCGGUAGCUAAAUGCGGAAGAGAUAAGUGCUGAAAGCAUCUAAGCACGAAACUUGCCCCGAGAUGAGUUCUCCCUGACUCCUUGAGAGUCCUGAAGGAACGUUGAAGACGACGACGUUGAUAGGCCGGGUGUGUAAGCGCAGCGAUGCGUUGAGCUAACCGGUACUAAUGAACCGUGAGGCUUAACCU